rnacentral:tRNA from 1 species
GGAGGGAUGGCCGAGUGGUCUAAGGCGGCUGUCUUGAAAACAGCUGUGGGGGCAACCUCACCGGGGGUUCGAAUCCCUCUCCCUCCGCCA